CAGCACUGUACAUUUUUCCUGUCAACCUGCACUCUCCAUUAGCGCUCCCCAGCAACAUUUUGUCCAUGUAGACGGAUGCUCUGCGUAAUGAUUUUCAUAUCCACCAUCAUCACUCAGGGACUCUGGGGAGCUCCAUUGAUAACAAUAUCUGAGCAGAUAUUCAUCUCCUGGGUGAGACACGUGUGGCAUUAUUUUUCUCUCUGGGUGUCCGGUUAACAUGCGCCCCUCUAACACUUUUUAAUCACUUCCAUUGUUUCAUCUCAUUUCCAAAUUCCCACAACUGAGUAUACUCCCCCUCCUUUCCAUGAAAGGAGGCCUUGGAUGGGAAUUUUCUGGUUUGGAUUUCAGAGAGGCAUCAUGGACAACUUUCAGACCUUUGAAGUGGAGUUUGAUGGGUUUUUUUCUGCUCUGGCGACAACAAUGAGGCUUUCAGCCGGAGAAUCAAAACAUGUAGCUCACAGUCACCUCACCUGCCUCUGUUCUCUAUGUACCGGAUUUGGGCAGUGAGAUCUAAAAGCAGCUAAUUACAGCUAAAUUAGGCAACCAGGCGGUCUUAUUUUGCGCUUCGUAUUUCUUGACAGACGUCAGAUCCCACGUGUAGCGACGCUGGUUCAUUUGGCGUCAAGGGCAACGGGUUAUCUUAUCUGCGACUUGCAAAGUUACUUAAAGUUAAUGAGAAGAAAACUAGCAAGGUCAUUUCAACCAGUUAGAAAAAUUAAACUACUUACCAAGCACCUGCGGUUCUGCGGUACAACAGGGUGAAGCAUCCUCAGCUCCACACCUGGACAUCCACAUCGAGACACCAAGCCAAGGCAGCCCUCAGUCUUUUGAGAGCCUCUUACCCAUAUUCCUGAGCCACUUCCAUACAAGACAGUCAGUGAAGAUCUAAGGCGUUAGUGGAUGACUUCCCUGUGUCCAGCCCUGGAACAGAGGUUUCGCAUAGUCACCCUGCGUGUUGCAACAACCGCCCCCCCCUGAACGACAGACAUGCUGCACAGUCAUUUGCAGAAGUGACUAUAAAGCCAUGGACACCGUCCCACUCGCUCUCCCUGAAUUGCACUCCCACUGUGAAGAAAAGCGCUGGGCGAAUGAAGACGGCAGACACAGUCGCCAUCAGCGGGGGCAGCAUCAGAGGAACAGCAGCACUUCAAAUGGAAUGUGAGGGGUUUUCAAGGCAUACAGUCAUAAAUUUUUCAUCUGCAACUGGCUUUGAGGCGGGAGAGGGGGGCAGGCCAGCCAGGCUCCAAUUGAAGGCUUCUAACAACAAACCAG
rnacentral:lncRNA from 1 species